CUGUGAGAGACAGCACUGCAUAUAAAUCCUAUAAAUUUUCAUUCUGUCUGUAUUUUAAAAGCCAGGAAUAAGAGCUGAUUUAUCCCUGCUUUUUGUUUUGUUUUGUUUUGUUUGUUUGUUUGUUUGUUUUCCUUUAAGAACUGUGCAUUCUUAAUGUGUUCUGUUCAUCAGUACAGGUGGUUAUACCUGUAUUUUGUACUUCGACUACCUAAUCUGCUCUUAUUUCUGUAUUCCUGUUCAUUCCAGGAUCCAGUCUUGCCUAAUAAAAGAACUACUUAGUACUGAAUUUCCAAGCUUAUUCAAGUUCACUUUUAUGAGUACAUCAAUCUCUGCAGUCUGAGGCAACUCAGGAGGAGUAAUGGAGGUUGCUCCUGUAGAUCCUUUGGAUCCUUCUCUCCCACACUCAGCUCUUUACCAGGAAAGCAGUCUCUCUUCUAAAGUUGUAUCUACAAGCAAUUUAUAUUUUGUGAAGUUUAAGCUUCACAAAAGCUUAAUCAAGACUUUGUUCCAAAGGUGCUACUAACAGAUGCAGCUGAUUCUAUCUUAACUUAGCUAGACUCCAGCUGACUCCUUCUGUCAUUUCUAAUGUUUCACUGAAGUACCGUGCAAGAUGAAGGAAAAAGCAAUAUCUGUGGCAGUCAGUAGCCAGAAAACAGAUGUCAGGUGAAACCUCUUCACUGUGUUCACAGAAAUUUCUAGCUGUGAAAUGUAUCUUCUGAGUAGCUUCUUCCAAUUCAUGGUUACAGAACCCGCUCAAGGUUAAAAGGUACAUAUCUAUAAGCCAUAGUUUGUUCUUGGCUUUGGCUCUGUGCAAGAGAAAAUACCAGAUGCUACAGCCUUAUGACGCUACACAUGAAAAACUAGCAUGGCAAGAUAAGCGAUAGUAAAAGGUGAUUCAAAUAGUUCCAUCCAGAAGACAAGUACCUUCAUAUCACUACAACAUCUGUUCCUUAGGUCAGCAUUCAGUCUCAUGUUUAUGUUUUGACAGUGAACGAACACAUUCUUACAUGUGAGAGAUUUAUUUUUUAGAAACAGCUUUUGUAAAACUCUUCUAAACUCAUAAAGAAACUUUGUAUUUACCAAAUGUAGGUUUCACACUUGAGGCGCUAUUGUUAUUAAUUCCUGCCUGCUACAAAAUUAAAGGUGUCUCAUAGCUAGUAUUGCAUAGCAAAUCAAGAAACUAGAGUUCCAAGUUGUCAUUUUAUUUUAACGUGCCCUUGUAUGUCAAGGUGUAUCCUAUUUUUGUUGUUGUUCUUGUUAAUGUAAAAAAUCUUUUGUAAUCGUAAAUGAACAAAGAAUGUUUAACAACCCUUCACUGUACUGAUAAAUACUUUCCUUUAUGUUGGUAUCUGUCAGAUCCAUAUAAGGAUUUCAUAUUUCAACAUCAGACAGACUAGGAAUGGUAGCCUGCUUGCAUCCUAACAUGAAUAUAAUAUUUGGCAACAUGUUUGAAUGUUUUGAAGCACUGUAAAUCUCUCUCUUUUUUUGUUAUAUGUUAAAAUCUCACUUAUUACUAACUUUUA
rnacentral:lncRNA from 1 species